GAAGAAGCUUGCUUCUGAUUGAUAACAUUUGAGUGAGUGGCGGACGGGUGAGUAACACGUGGGUAACCUGCCCUAAAGUGGGGGAUAACAUUUGGAAACAGAUGCUAAUACCGCAUAAAACCUAGCACCGCAUGGUGCAAGGUUGAAAGAUGGUUUCGGCUAUCACUUUAGGAUGGACCCGCGGUGCAUUAGUUAGUUGGUGAGGUAAAGGCUCACCAAGACCGUGAUGCAUAGCCGACCUGAGAGGGUAAUCGGCCACACUGGGACUGAGACACGGCCCAGACUCCUACGGGAGGCAGCAGUAGGGAAUCUUCCACAAUGGACGAAAGUCUGAUGGAGCAACGCCGCGUGAGUGAAGAAGGUUUUCGGAUCGUAAAACUCUGUUGUUGGAGAAGAACGUAUUUGAUAGUAACUGAUCAGGUAGUGACGGUAUCCAACCAGAAAGCCACGGCUAACUACGUGCCAGCAGCCGCGGUAAUACGUAGGUGGCAAGCGUUGUCCGGAUUUAUUGGGCGUAAAGCGAGCGCAGGCGGUUUCUUAAGUCUGAUGUGAAAGCCUUCGGCUCAACCGAAGAAGUGCAUCGGAAACUGGGAAACUUGAGUGCAGAAGAGGACAGUGGAACUCCAUGUGUAGCGGUGAAAUGCGUAGAUAUAUGGAAGAACACCAGUGGCGAAGGCGGCUGUCUGGUCUGUAACUGACGCUGAGGCUCGAAAGCAUGGGUAGCAAACAGGAUUAGAUACCCUGGUAGUCCAUGCCGUAAACGAUGAGUGCUAGGUGUUGGAGGGUUUCCGCCCUUCAGUGCCGCAGCUAACGCAUUAAGCACUCCGCCUGGGGAGUACGACCGCAAGGUUGAAACUCAAAGGAAUUGACGGGGGCCCGCACAAGCGGUGGAGCAUGUGGUUUAAUUCGAAGCAACGCGAAGAACCUUACCAGGUCUUGACAUCCUUUGACCACUCUGGAGAUAGAGCUUUCCCUUCGGGGACAAAGUGACAGGUGGUGCAUGGUUGUCGUCAGCUCGUGUCGUGAGAUGUUGGGUUAAGUCCCGCAACGAGCGCAACCCUUAUUACUAGUUGCCAGCAUUUAGUUGGGCACUCUAGUG
rnacentral:rRNA from 1 species